rnacentral:lncRNA from 1 species
GGGGGGGGAGGGUGCUGCUGUUUGUUGUAUGUUUGAUUGUUUGUUUGUUUCUUGGGUUUCUGGUAGCAUGCACAGAACUUAUAUUUUCUCUUACUUCCACAGUGCUGUUAUUACCACUGGUCAAGCUUCAUCCGUUUCAUGGGCUGUACGACUUCAUUUGUUCUGAUUAUUUUGCCAAAGAUUAAGGAUUGGUUUUCCCAGCUUCUGAGAAUUUUGUUCCAGAUAUACCCAACCAAACAUUCAGUGGAAAAAAAGAAUGUGAAGGACAACUCUGAUUCAGCUGUCAAUCAUAUCACUGUAUAAACCAGCAGGAGGAAUCUAAAAGUUACAAGCACAGAGCCUGGUCUCCAUCCUGCUGAUCUCUGAGGUGAAGGAGUCACUGCUUUAGAUAAUGCAAGAACAAGCCUUUUGCAGAACUUUCUAAGCUUCACAUGUGGCACAAUUCAUCUCCCACUGUACUGUAGCCACUCUGUGUUCACACUGUAAGAUUCAGCAGUUCCAUUUCAUCACAUUGCUUCAAAAUAAAGGACAGUAGAUGGUUUAAAACUUUGGGACA